GCCUCCUUCUCCUGGUGUCCAUUUCUGGAACUGCUAUUUGUAUAUUGCAUGAUAUUUUAUCAGGAAAAAAUAUAAAACAGAUCUAAUUUCAUGAAAAUGCUGUUGCCAUAAUGCUCAGGAGAACAGGGGGAAGAGAGAGAUUCAAGUCUUCCUAAUGUCUACCUUAUAUGCAGAGCCUUGGAAAGAUGGGCAAAUGCUCUGUGACAAGCCACCAGGGUAGACUGGUACUGAAAAGACCCUACUACACACAGGGGCUCUGUCCCUGGCUGGAAAGUUACAAGUCAGCCUACCUCUCUGUGAUCUGGUUUCCACACCUACUACUCUUUAUCCCAUGAGGAGCUUCUGGAAACUAAAAUAGCAGCUGCCCAGGUAGAAGAGUGUUGACCAAAGGACACAUCACCAGCACAGACUGUUAAUCAUGUGACUAGAGAAAACUCUCAUGGUGGCAUUCAAAUUUCCAUAUCCUUCUUCUAUGGAAAUUUCUGAGAGACCCAGAAAAGAAGCGUAACGACGAGGGAAAGUGAUUCCUGCAGACCUGAACAUUCCAGACUUACCAGGUGAUCCAGCUGUCUGUCAGCGGGAAGAGGCUGAGGCGCCCCCUUCUGGUGCAUCUGAAUAGUAAGAAACCCUGUGUAGAAAGAAACCCUGUAGCAAUUGGGCACCUUCUCCGUGAUCUGUCUGCUUCCAAUACCAAAAAUUGUUGCUUUUUAAAUGACAUCCAUCCUAAGCUUAAAAAAGACGCAUAUUAUUUGUAUAAAAUGUUGAAGACGCAGAACAAAAAAUGUAAAUCACAUGUAAUCAUCCCUUCCAGAAAUAAUCGUUAUUAAAAUUUCUGUGUAUGUGUAAAAAAAAAAAUUGCAAUCCUACUGUAAUAUAAUCCUGUAUACUGAUAUUUUUCACCUAUCACUGUAUGUUGAGCAUUUUCAAUAGUCAAAUUAUUUCUUGAAAAUAUUAAUGACUGGGGAGUAACCUUUCAAAUAGGUGUGUCUUUAUUUUUAAACCAGUCCACAAUUAUUGUAUAUUGAAGUCAUUUCCCAAAUUUUGUAAGUAUAAGUAUUGCAUCCAUCCUUAUAUGUAUUUAAAUGCAUCUCUUAUUAUUUCCUUGAGAUAAGUUCCUAGAAGUGGAAUCACUGGAUUUAAAAAUGUGGACAUAUUUAUGCCAGACGCGGUGGGUCAUGCCUGUAAUCCCAGCACUUUGGGAGACUGAAGCAGGUGGAUCACUUGAGGUCAGGAGUUCAAGACCAGCCUGGCCAACAUAGUGAAACCCCAUCUCUACUAAAAUUACAAAAAUUAGCCGGGUGUGGUAGUGCACGCCUGUAAUCCCAGCUACUCAGGAGGCUGAGGCAUAAGAAUCACUUGAACUCAGGAGGCGGAGGUUGCAGUGAGCCAAGAUGGCACCACUGCGCUCCAGUCUGGGCGACAGAGUAAGACUUCAUCUCAAAAAUAAAUAAAUAAAAUUAAAAUUAAAUAAGAUAAAUAAAAAAUAAAAAUGUGGACAUAUUUAAAUCUUCAUAUAUAUUACCAAAUGCCCUCCUGAAAGUUUUUACCUGUUACAUUCCAACCAAUAGUGUAAGGGCAUGACUCUUUCCCUGUGUUUUGGGAUGGAUGUUAUCAAAGUUCUCUCCCACCCAGGCCAAGUAUGGUAUAUGCUUUGAUUUAAUUUGAAUUUUUAAAUUAUUAUUUAAAAUGGACAUUUUGUUGUCCAUUUGAACAACUUUCUUUUGAGUCACUGUUCAUGUUCUUUGCCCAUUGUUUCUCUUUUAUUAGUAAGAACCCUAUUGUCAUUUUUAUAUUUUAAAUAAAAUUUCAUUGUAUAUACAUUUAUAUUAUCUAUAGUAAAGUAUAUUUUAUUAUUAAUGAGAACUUUUUAUAUUAAAGAUCCUAACCUAC
rnacentral:lncRNA from 1 species